GGCGGCGUGCCUAACACAUGCAAGUCGAACGAGAAAGUGGAGCAAUCCAUGAGUAAAGUGGCGCACGGGUGAGUAACACGUGACUAACCUACCCUUGAGUGGGGAAUAACUUCGGGAAACCGAGGCUAAUACCGCAUAACACCUACGGGUCAAAGGAGCAAUUCGCUUAAGGAGGGGGUCGCGGCAGAUUAGUUAGUUGGCGGGGUAAUGGCCCACCAAGACGGUGAUCUGUAUCCGGCCUGAGAGGGCGCACGGACACACUGGAACUGAAACACGGUCCAGACUCCUACGGGAGGCAGCAGUGGGGAAUUUUGCGCAAUGGGGGAAACCCUGACGCAGCAACGCCGCGUGGAGGAUGAAGUCCCUUGGGACGUAAACUCCUUUCGAUCGGGACGAUUAUGA
rnacentral:rRNA from 1 species